GCGGGGCUAAAACACAUGAACUGAGGUCAUGACCAGAGCUGAGGUCAGAUGCUUAACCGACUGAGCCACCCAGGGUGCCCCUGAUUUUUGGUUUACUUUGAUUACUUCCUAUAACUGCCGAAAGCAAACACUAUAGGACUUCUAUGCGAUGAGAAAUGUCCUUUACAACUUUUUUUGUUUUCCAUAAGUGCCUUCUGUUUGUUCAUUCACAAUUGAAAUCAAGUUACUCUGAAAGCUACCCUUUUAUUCAUUCAGGUGACUAAAACUCAUACUAGACUAAACCUUUGUGUAUCAUUACUGACAAUAAUUCCAGAAAGUUGUAUUUUCUUUUGUGUAGCUCUUUAUAACUUCUAAAACUUUGUUUUUAGUGUUGAGAGAAGCCAAAAGCUAGAAACAGCUUAAAGGUUAAUAAGUAGGCUAAAUUAGUGGUGGUGCAUCCAGAGAAUACAAUAUCAUGCCAUUGUUAAAAUGAAUGAGAUAGCUCAGAAAUGCACUCAUAGAUUGUGUAGGAAAGAAUUAACUGGUGUGAAUUGCCCAAACCCAGCACAUUCCCGAGAAAGGCGUAUCUUAAAGAUUGGCUCUUGUCUCUGAGACAAAUUCGGUGCCCUUGGAAUAUUCUUUCUAGAAGAGUGUUUUCAUAUGCUGGAGGCCUUGGACCACACAGUACCAGUUGGAUCAGAUAGUUUAUGCAAACAAUUUGAUUUAUGGUGAACACCUAUGGGGACUGGAAUCUGAAAGCUGUGGUUAGUCAUGCAGGUCCUAGAUGCCUUGUGACUGACUCCCAGUAAAAUCUCUGGAUACCAGGGCUUGGGCAUGCUUUUCUGGUUGAUAACACUUCACACGUGUUGUCACACAUCAUCGCUGGGGAAAUUAAGCAUGUCCAUGCAACUCCACUGUGGGAUGACACCUGGAAGCUUGUGCCUGGUUUCUACUGGACUUUGCUCAUAUUCCUUUUCUCUUUGCUUAUUUCAGUCUGUAUCCUUUUGCUCUAAAAAGCUAUAACUGAAGGUAACAGCUUUUCUGAGACCUGUGAGUCCUUUCAGUGAAUCAUCUCCCAGAGCAUGGUCCUGGGGACCCCUGAGACAUAGGGCAUCACUAGAUAUGUGCAAGAAUAUUUAUGGAAACUUUAUUUGCAAUUACUCACAACUGGCAAAAUUUAGUUACUAGUAUUGCAUCACUUGUAAUUUAUUGGUUUUGAUAGUUGUACUAUGGUUACACAAGAUGUUAACAUUAGCUGAAGCUAGUUGAAGGGUAUAUAGGAACUCUACUCUUUUAGCAACUGUUUGGUGAGUCUAAGAUUAUUUCAAAAUAGAAAGUUAAAAAGGAGAGUAGGUUGGGGUGCUUUUAUAUGCUUUAUGAACUGGCUCUCACAGCUCAAAGAAAUGCCCAUUGGUUGUAUCUAGAGAAGGAAAGUAGGGGCCAGAAAGGGAUUGUCUUUUGAUAAGGCAUUGCAUCUCAUUGAUAUAGUCAUCUGGUUCUAUAGAUAUUACCUAACACCUUUUCAAUUAUACCCUGCUCUUCAUCUUUCAGCAAAUCUAGCUGGCUACAUUUCAAAAUCUAUUCAGUACCUGCUUACUUCCCAUCACCUUCAGUAUCAUCAGCCUGGUUCCUGGUGGUUAAGAGUGGCUUUGGCCUUAGAUGUUGGUUUGAAUCAUAGCCCCACUAUUUGCUGAUUUUAUGACCCUGAGUAAGUUAUUUAUCCUAGCUCCAGGUCUUAGUUUCCCAUAUGAAAAGCAGGGAUAAUAAUAUCUGACUCAUGGGGGUGUGAGGAUUAAAUGAGAUAAUGUCUGUAAUGUUCUUUGCACCGUGUUUGACACAUUCAGUAAAAGGUAGCCAUUACUUAUUAAUUUGAGCAUUACGUCAUUCCAGAUGCAUGGUGUAUAUUAUCUCUUUCCUCCAAAUUUUCUUCUUCACAAAGCUGUAAGUUCCUCAGACAGAAAAAUCAUGUUUUACUGUUGUAUCCUAGCUGUUUUGCCAAUGGAUGCUAUUACUGCCUGCACCCUCUUAAUGCCUGCUUAACUCACUUAUUCUUUGUAUCUCAUACUGUCUUCUUUUUCUUUUUAAUUCCAUCUUCAGCAAUUGUGAGCAAAACUCUUUGCUAGGCACUGUACAUUGUCCUUAAGCCUUCUAUAAGUAACUGAAAGAAAUCUGAAGAGGAUGUUAACUUUUAUGAAAAAAGAUGAAAAGCAGAAAUAGCAUUCCACAUUUGUUUUACAGCGAGCCCUUAUAAUAGAGGCAGCAUGCACCUGACCAGGGAGAGUGGCGCUGCCCAACUCCUUCCCCGAGAACUACACUCAGCAUCUCAGUAUUAAGCUGCCAGAACUUUGAACUGUGUCUUUGAGCAUCUGUGCUUUAUCUCAAUUUAUUUUGUGCAUCUGUUAGCAAGAUGUGUCUGUCCUAAGGUAUCAGAAAACCUAAGAGAGGUGAUUUUUUGGAUCUGGGAAUGCUCAAAACUUUUUCCAUAUACAUUAAUAGUAAUUGCUUCUCCACUUUAUGCCUUUUUGCAUUAUGAAGGGUUUCAUAGGAAUGCUUUUGGAUAAUGGGGGAGACCUGUAUCUUGUCCACUGUUCUCUUUUUGUUGCUAACAGUUAUGUAAGGAGCUUUGUACCCCUUCUCUGUCCUUUACUUGGGACUAUAGAUUACAAAGAGAGAAAUAAAGGCAGGUAGUUAGACCUUCAUAGGCUCUAUUAAAACUCUGUCAUGUCUCAUCUUUUUUUUUUUUUUGUAAAGAUUUUAUUUUUAAGUAAUCUCUAUACCCAACAUAGGGCUCAAACUCAAAACCCUGAGAUCAAGAGU